GCACGACGGCUGCCGGUGCGCAGGCGAAGCGUGCUGCAGCGCGGUCUCCUCGGUCCUGCGCCUGUCCUCCGCGCCAUGCGGUGCCCCCAGCUACUGGUAAUCGCCAGUGCUCUCCAGUCUCCACUGUUGCUAAUUCAUGCCUCUGCCGUUGUGGCCUUGUGGCUGACCGCUGAUUUGGCUUUGGUCGCUUCUGUAGCAAAUCAACCAAACUCUUUUUUUAAAAGUAAC
rnacentral:lncRNA from 1 species